rnacentral:rRNA from 1 species
UACGAAGGGGGCUAGCGUUGUUCGGAAUCACUGGGCGUAAAGCGCACGUAGGCGGAUUUGUAAGUCAGGGGUGAAAUCCCGGGGCUCAACCUCGGAACUGCCUUUGAUACUGCAAGUCUCGAGUCCGGAAGAGGUGAGUGGAAUUCCUAGUGUAGAGGUGAAAUUCGUAGAUAUUAGGAAGAACACCAGUGGCGAAGGCGGCUCACUGGUCCGGUACUGACGCUCAUGUGCGAAAGCGUGGGGAGCAAACAGG